rnacentral:rRNA from 1 species
ACUCAAAUGAAUUGACGGGGACCCGCACAAGCGGUGGAUGAUGUGGAUUAAUUCGAUGCAACGCGAAAAACCUUACCUACCCUUGACAUGUCCGGAAUCCUGAUGAAAGUUGGGAGUGCUCGAAAGAGAGCCGGAACACAGGUGCUGCAUGGCUGUCGUCAGCUCGUGUCGUGAGAUGUUGGGUUAAGUCCCGCAACGAGCGCAACCCUUGUCAUUAGUUGCUACAUUUAGUUGGGCACUCUAAUGAGACUGCCGGUGACAAACCGGAGGAAGGUGGGGAUGACGUCAAGUCCUCAUGGCCCUUAUGGGUAGGGCUUCACACGUCAUACAAUGGUCGGUACAGAGGGUUGCCAAGCCGCGAGGCGGAGCCAAUCUCAGAAAGCCGAUCGUAGUCCGGAUUGCAGUCUGCAACUCGACUGCAUGAAGUCGGAAUCGCUAGUAAUCGCGGAUCAGCAUGUCGCGGUGAAUACGUUCCCGGGUCUUGUACACACCGCCCGU